UAAAAGUGAAAGUGCCUUGCAGCUACCGAUCUAGCCCAGUUGCACUCCUAAAGAUUUGGAGUGGGUUUCCAGAAAAGGGGGGAAGUAAGAUGCCGGGACAAAAGUGGUUUCAGGAUCCUGAAGGAGACUUAGUCUGGGUCAAGAGGCACGAGCCUAAAACCCUGGAGCCACGCCGGAAAGGACCACACGCCGUGAUCCUGACUACACCCGCGGCCGUGAAGAUAGACGGUGUCCAAAUCUGGAUUCAUCACUCUCAGGUCAAGAAAAACUGCGUGAAGGCGGGAACACCCCAGACUGAUACGGAACCGGAUAACGAACACAAUGGAAGGUCUGAAGGCACCCAGAGGAUCCUUUAAAGCUAAGACUGAUGUGGGCGUAAUAAUAAUAAUUGUCUGGGUUUGUAUAAUGGUAAGCGUGGGGGACUGUACGGAAUUGCAUCCCCUAUCUUUGUGGCCAUACCAAUGGGAACUCAGGGACACUGUCACAGGGUAGGUGAUAGCAUCUAAUACCUCUUCCCUGUGCCUUGUUUUUUGUUUGAUUUAUGCGACUUGGUGGGGGACUCAUGGGGGACUUUAAUUACUAAUUAUAAACAGCCAAC